AGAUUGAGAAGGAAGUUACAGGGACAGCAGAGCAGAAAGCCCGAAGCAAAGCAGCUUGCAGAAGCAGGUGGCCUAAAAUGGCCUAGAAACCAAAGUGGAGAGCUGAAAAGAGUCAUACUUUUCCAGCAGUAUCUUCUUGAUGUUCAAAGAGAAUAUGUAACAGAAAGGUUUAGAGCAAGUUCCUGGAGUUCAGCUUCCUGGAGAGAGAAAUUCAGGUCUACCACCUCGUGGUUUUGUGACCUUGGAGUCUUUGAAGUCAAGUUUGGACUUUGCAUUUGUAACUCCUCUCAGUUCAGACUGGCUACAUUUCCAUGGCUGAGAAGCCACAUGUGGGUCUAACUAAUAUACAGCCAAGAUUGAGAUCCACUGGGGUAAGGGCACAGUUGGCACAUUGU